UACGUAGCAGCGAGCGUUGUUCGGAAUUACUGGGCGUAAAGAGUGUGUAGGCGGUGCUCUAAGUUCGGUGUGAAAUCUCCCGCUUAACUGGGAGGGUGCGCCGGAAACUGGAGUGCUCGAGCGUGGGAGAGGAAAGCGGAAUUCCUGGUGUAGCGGUGAAAUGCGUAGAUAUCAGGAGGAACACCUGCGGUGUAGACGGCUUUCUGGACCAUUGCUGACGCUGAGACACGAAAGCGUGGGUAGCAAACAGG
rnacentral:rRNA from 1 species